rnacentral:rRNA from 1 species
AGUGAGCGCUGGCGGUAGGCCUAACACAUGCAAGUCGAACGGCAGCACAGUAAGAGCUUGCUCUUACGGGUGGCGAGUGGCGGACGGGUGAGGAAUACAUCGGAAUCUACCUUUUCGUGGGGGAUAACGUAGGGAAACUUACGCUAAUACCGCAUACGACCUACGGGUGAAAGCAGGGGAUCUUCGGACCUUGCGCGAUUGAAUGAGCCGAUGUCGGAUUAGCUAGUUGGCGGGGUAAAGGCCCACCAAGGCGACGAUCCGUAGCUGGUCUGAGAGGAUGAUCAGCCACACUGGAACUGAGACACGGUCCAGACUCCUACGGGAGGCAGCAGUGGGGAAUAUUGGACAAUGGGCGCAAGCCUGGUCCAGCCAUACCGCGUGGGUGAAGAAGGCCUUCGGGUUGUAAAGCCCUUUUGUUGGGAAAGAAAAGCAGCAGGUUAAUACCCCGCUGUUCUGACGGUACCCAAAGAAUAAGCACCGGCUAACUUCGUG